rnacentral:lncRNA from 1 species
GUCCCGCCUCCGCGCCUUGCACUGAUGACGCGAAGCUGCGUAAGACGGGCUGACGUAAAAGGUAUUCUUUAAAUAAAAGGGACAGGUUUCUCAGCGGAAGGAGGGGUGGAGUCAUUGUUGGCGGGAUUGCGGCCCUCCCAGAGCGGGGCCACGCCUGGUGGGCGGGGCCUUAGGCAAUCCAGGGUGAGAGGCGGGGCCAGGGGGGAGGAGUUAGCGCGGAGGUACUUGGGAAAGGGGCGUGGCUUCGCGACUGCGGAAGGUUGCCCGGGCUGGCGCCGCUGGGCAGAGCCGGUGCGACGUUUCCCUUUCCAGCUUUGUUCUUCCGGCCCUGCUGUCUGCCUCCCCGGCUGAUUGGAUUCGUUACUGCUUUGCAACGCGCACCUAACUCCAGGUUAGCGGGGAUUAGUAAGAACUCAGCUCUGGGCCAGUCGGGAAGACAGAUAAGGAGACCAGUUAGUCAGCAUCCAGUGCUUGAAGAGUGCGGCCCCAGGUAGUGUGGGACCCGGAGAAAGAAGGCGGGAAAGCAUUUCAAAGAAGGCACAGAUUCGGCGCAGGCUUAGGACACAAAAAGGGGGAAAAGUCCAGCUUUCAAGAACUUAUCCAGAUUUUUGCAGUUAAAAUUUUUUCUUUUUUGAGACGGGAGUUCCGCUCUUGUUGCCCAGGCUGGAGUGCAAUGGCGCGAUCUCGGCUCACUGCAACCUCCGCCCCCCCGGGUUCAAGCGAUUCUUUUGCCUCAGCCUGCCGAGUAGCUGGGAUUACAGGCAUGCGCCACCACGCCCCGCUAAUUUUGUAUUUUAGUAGAGACAGGGUUUCUCCAUGUUGGUCAGGCUGGUCUCGAACUCCCGACCUCAGGUGAUCCGCCCCCGUCUCGGCCUCCCAAAGUGCUGGCAUUACAGGCGUGAGCUACCGCGCUCGGCCGCAAUUAAAAUUUUUUCUAAAAACUUACUGUGGCCGGGGGGAGUGGCUUACUCUUGUAAUCCCACCGCUUUGGGAGGCAGAGGUGGGAGGAUCGCUUGAGCUCAGGAGUUCGAGGCUGCAGUGAGCUAUGAUCUGAGCCACUGCAUUGCACCCGACAGGGAGGCCUUGUCUCCAAAAAAAAAAAAAAAAGCGCUGGAGUUUGGGGUUUUGGAGAACUACUGAUUAAAGGAUAAAUAAUCCAGACAGGGGCAAACAUAAGCAAAAAGCUCGGUGGCUUCUACCAACUGAACACUGGCAGAAGUAGCACUUAGAUCAAGAAAUAGAUAAUUAGGACUGGCGCGGUGGCUCACGCCUGUAAUCCCAACACGUUAGGAGGCUAAGGCAGGCGGAUCACAAGGUCAGGAGUUCAAGACCAGCCUGGGUAACAUGGUGAAAUCCCGUCUCUACUAAAAAUACAAAAAUUAGCCGGGCGUGGUGGCGCACGCCUGUAAUCCUGGCUACUCAGAAGGCUGAGGCAGGAGAAUGGCUUGAACCUGGGAGGCGGAGGUUGCAGUGAGCUGAGAUGGAGCCACUGCACGCCAGCUGGGGUGACAGAGCGAGACUCUGUCUCAGGAAAAAAAAAAAAAAGAAAGAAUUACCCCAGAAUCUCCCCCUUCAUGUCUUCUUCUAGCCAUUAACCUCCAAAGAGUAAUCACUAUUCUGACGUCUGUCACCAUACAUUAGUUUUUCCUGUUUUUGUACUUGCUAUAAAUGGAAUCCAACUGUGUAUCCUCUUCGGUGUCUAGCUUCUUUUUUGUAAGUCCUUUCAUUGUGGUAAAAUAAACAUAGCUAGGCACAGUGGCAUGCACCUGUAGUCCCAGCUACUCUGAAGGCUGACUCAGCAGUGUCACUUGAGCCCAGGAGUUAAAGGCCAGCCUGGGCAACACAGGGAGACCUCUAUCUCUAAAGAUAAAUAUAUACAUAUACGUAACAUAAAACUUAAAACCAUUUUAACUAUUUUUAAGUUUGCAAUUCAGUGGCAUUAAGUACAUUCACAAAGCCGGGCACAGUGGCUCAUACUUGUAAUCCCAGCACUUUGGGAGGCUGAGGCAGGAGGAUCCCUUGAGCCAGGAGUUCAAGACCAGCCUGGGCAAUAUGGUGAAACCCCGUCUCUACUAAAAAUA